rnacentral:rRNA from 1 species
GACGGAGGAUGCAAGCGUUAUCCGGAAUGAUUGGGCGUAAAGCGUCUGCAGGUGGCCGUUCAAGUCUGCUGUCAAAGACCGGGGCUUAACUUCGGAAAGGCAGUGGAAACUGAACAGCUAGAGUAUGGUAGGGGCAGAGGGAAUUCCUGGUGUAGCGGUGGAAUGCGUAGAGAUCAGGAAGAACAUCGGUGGCGAAGGCGCUCUGCUGGACCAUAACUGACACUCAGGGACGAAAGCUAGGGGAGCGAAUGGG